rnacentral:lncRNA from 1 species
UUAAGAUUCACAUCGAUUGUAUUGGAGCCGCUGGAAUUUCGGCCCCCAGACACGAGCAGUGCAGAUGCAGGGCUUGUCUGCUCUGAUAAGGAGAGAGGGACUGCACCUGUUGCGGGUUGGGGCUACAGGGUGACCUCUCUUCAAGGUGAGGGCUGAAUUUACUUACUUAUACCACCUGUUCCUGAACCUGCCAGUCGCCUCUGCUAUCCAUGCCUGCAGGAUCAGGGCCCACAAUCCUAGCAGCACCA